rnacentral:rRNA from 1 species
AUGACUGGCCAAGGAGUCCGGCAGGGAGACCCGAUCUCCCCAUUCUUAUUCAACCUUGUGGUUGAUGCGCUAGCCUCGAUUCUGGACUUGGCCAAGCGUGCGGGUCACAUUAGAGGGGUUUGCCCUCAUUUGGUGACAACUGGGGGUUUGACCCAUCUCCAAUAUGCAGACGACACCAUUAUGAUGGUGGAGGGAUCUGAUGAGGAUAUUCAGAACCUCAAAUUCCUCCUCCUCUGCUUCCAGGAAAUGUCUGGCCUCAAAAUAAACUUUGCCAAGAGCGAGGUAAUGGUCAUGGGAUAUUCCCAAUGGGAGGCCCAGCGGAUUGCCAAUCGUUUGAACUGCCGCUUGGGUUCCUUCCCGAUGACUUAUCUUGGCAUGCCCCUUAGUGAUGCACGACUCCUGAAAAAGGAUUUCCAUCCAAUAGUCGCCAAGCUCCAACCUAGAAUGGAGCCUUGGCAAGGGAGAUGGCUUUCUAAAGCCGUUCGAGUGAUUCUAAUGAACUCCUCCCUUAUUAGCCUACUGAUGUAUAUCAUGGGAUUCUAUAGCCUACAUGAAUCCCUUCAUCAGGAAGUUACCAAACUACUCUCCCGCUUUUUUUGGGCGGGAGAGAAAAAUAAGCAGAAGUACCAUAUGGUCAAACGGUCUGAGAUCUGCAAACCUAAGGACCAGGGAGGCUUGGGGGUCAUCUCCUUCAAGCGUAUGAACAUUGCCCUCCUGUCCAAAUGGCUUUGGCGGAUCCAGACUGAGGAGAGCGGCCCGUGGCUUCAGAUUAUACGCGGGAAGUACCUUCGCGGGCAACCAUUAGUGUUUGCCUCUAGGUUUUGA